CCUACGGGAGGCUGCAGUGGGGAAUAUUGGGCAAUGGAGGAAACUCUGACCCAGCAACGCCGCGUGAAUGAUGACGGUCCUCGGAUUGUACAGUUCUUUUCUUAGGGAAGAAGAAAGUGCCGGUACCUUAGUCAUAUGCCUCGGCUAACUACGAGCCAGCAGCCGCGGUAAUACGUAGGCGGCAAUCGUUAUCCGGAAUGACUGGGCGUAAAGGGUGCGUAGGUGGUUUGACAAGUUGGUAGCGUAACUUCGGGGCUCAACCGCGGCACUACUACUAAAACUGUCGGACUUGAGUGCAGGAGGGGCAAAUGGAAUUCGUAGUGUAGCGGUGGAAUGCUUAGAUAUUAGGAGGAACACCAGGGGCGAAGGCGAUUUGCUGGACUGUAACUGACACUGAGGCACGAAAGCGUGGGGAGCAAACAGGAUUAGAUACCCCAGUAGUC
rnacentral:rRNA from 1 species